rnacentral:rRNA from 1 species
UACGUAGGGCGCAAGCGUUGUCCGGAAUUAUUGGGCGUAAAGAGCUCGUAGGCGGUUUGCCGCGUCCGCUGUGAAAGCCCGGGGCUCAACCCCGGGUCUGCAGUGGGUACGGGCAGACUGGAGGGCAGUAGGGGAGACUGGAAUUCCUGGUGUAGCGGUGAAAUGCGCAGAUAUCAGGAGGAACACCGAUGGCGAAGGCAGGUCUCUGGGCUGUUACUGACGCUGAGGAGCGAAAGCAUGGGGAGCGAACAGGAUUAGAUACCCUUGUGUC